rnacentral:rRNA from 1 species
AGAGUUUGAUCCUGGCUCAGGACGAACGCUGGCGGCGUGCCUAACACAUGCAAGUCGAACGGGGUUGAGUGCUUCGGUAUUCAACCUAGUGGCGAACGGGUGAGUAACGCGUGAAGAACCUGCCUUUCAGUGGGGGACAACAGUUGGAAACGACUGCUAAUACCGCAUGACGCUUCUUGGGGGCAUCCCCGAGAAGUCAAAGCUUUAUGUGCUGAAAGAUGGCUUCGCGUCUGAUUAGCUAGAUGGCGGGGUAACGGCCCACCAUGGCGACGAUCAGUAGCCGGUCUGAGAGGAUGAACGGCCACAUUGGGACUGAGAUACGGCCCAGACUCCUACGGGAGGCAGCAGUGGGGAAUAUUGGGCAAUGGGGGAAACCCUGACCCAGCAACGCCGCGUGAAGGAAGAAGGCCUUCGGGUUGUAAACUUCUUUUACCAGGGACGAAGGACGUGACGGUACCUGGAGAAAAAGCAACGGCUAACUACGUGCCAGCAGCCGCGGUAAUACGUAGGUUGCAAGCGUUGUCCGGAUUUACUGGGUGUAAAGGGCGUGUAGGCGGAGAUGCAAGUCGGGAGUGAAAUCCAUGGGCUCAACCCAUGAACUGCUUUCGAAACUGUAUCCCUUGAGUAUCGGAGAGGCAAGCGGAAUUCCUAGUGUAGCGGUGAAAUGCGUAGAUAUUAGGAGGAACACCAGUGGCGAAGGCGGCUUGCUGGACGACAACUGACGCUGAGGCGCGAAAGCGUGGGGAGCAAACAGGAUUAGAUACCCUGGUAGUCCACGCUGUAAACGAUGAAUACUAGGUGUGGGAGGACUGACCCCUUCCGUGCCGCAGUUAACACAAUAAGUAUUCCACCUGGGGAGUACGACCGCAAGGUUGAAACUCAAAGGAAUUGACGGGGGCCCGCACAAGCAGUGGAUUAUGUGGUUUAAUUCGACGCAACGCGAAGAACCUUACCAGGAUUUGACAUCCAACUAACGAAGUAGAGAUACAUUAGGUGCCCUUCGGGGAAAGUUGAGACAGGUGGUGCAUGGUUGUCGUCAGCUCGUGUCGUGAGAUGUUGGGU